GAUGAACGCUGGCGGCGUGCCUAAUACAUGCAAGUCGAGCGAACAGACGAGGAGCUUGCUCCUCUGACGUUAGCGGCGGACGGGUGAGUAACACGUGGAUAACCUACCUAUAAGACUGGGAUUACUUCGGGAAACCGGAGCUAAUACCGGAUAAUAUAUUGAACCGCAUGGUUCAAUAGUGAAAGACGGUUUUGCUGUCACUUAUAGAUGGAUCCGCGCCGCAUUAGCUAGUUGGUAAGGUAACGGCUUACCAAGGCAACGAUGCGUAGCCGACCUGAGAGGGUGAUCGGCCACACUGGAACUGAGACACGGUCCAGACUCCUACGGGAGGCAGCAGUAGGGAAUCUUCCGCAAUGGGCGAAAGCUUGACGGAGCAACGCCGCGUGAGUGAUGAAGGUCUUCGGAUCGUAAAACUCUGUUAUUAGGGAAGAACAAAUGUGUAAGUAACUAUGCACGUCUUGACGGUACCUAAUCAGAAAGCCACGGCUAACUACGUG
rnacentral:rRNA from 1 species